rnacentral:tRNA from 1 species
GGGAAUGCAGUUUAUUUGGUAGAGGGCCUGCCUGGCAUGUAGGAAGUCCUGGGUUCUAUCCCCAGCAUCCUUG